AUUUCGCUCACGUGGAUAUAUCUCCGAUUUACGAUUACAAUUUACAAAUCUCAUUGGUCCACUCUAACCAGGCGGAAAA